rnacentral:rRNA from 1 species
CUGGCGGCGUGCUUAACACAUGCAAGUCGAACGAGGAUAUACUGCGGAAGGCUUCGGCUGGAAGGGGUGUAUUCGAGUGGCGGACGGGUGAGUAACGCGUGAGCAAUCUGUCCCAGACAGGGGAAUAACACUUGGAAACAGGUGCUAAUACCGCAUAAGACCACAGUAUCGCAUGGUACAGAGGUAAAAGGAGCAAUCCGGUUUGGGUGAGUUCGCGUCCGAUUAGAUAGUUGGUGAGGUAACGGCCCACCAAGUCGACGAUCGGUAGCCGACCUGAGAGGGUGAUCGGCCACAUUGGAACUGAGAGACGGUCCAAACUCCUACGGGAGGCAGCAGUGGGGAAUAUUGGGCAAUGGGGCCGAAAGCCUGACCCAGCAACGCCGCGUGAGUGAAGAAGGCUUUCGGGUUGUAAAGCUCUGUUAUAGGGGACGAAGGAAGUGACGGUACCCUAUAAGGAAGCCCCGGCUAACUACGUGCCAGCAGCCGC